UAAUGUGUAGCUGAGUUACUUAGAGUGCUUGCCUAGAAUGCAAGAGACUCUGGGUUCUAUCCUCAGCACUGUAU
rnacentral:tRNA from 1 species